UUAAGUUAUUAAGGGCUUACGGUGGAUGCCUAGGCGCCGGAAGGCGAUGAAGGGCGUAGUGAGCUGCGAUAAGCCUCGGGGAGCCGCAAACAGGCUUAGAUCCGGGGAUUCCCGAAUGGGGCAACCUGCUGCGAGUAAUGUCGCAGCAUUCAUGGCUGAAUAUAUAGGUCAUGAAAGUCAUACCCGGGGAACUGAAACAUCUUAGUACCCGGAGGAAAAGAAAGCAAAAGCGAUUCCCUCAGUAGUGGCGAGCGAAAGGGGAACAGCCCAAACUGUAGCGGUGUUAAAGCCUGCCGGCGUUGCCGCUACAGGGUAGCGGGGCGCUUUUGGGCCGGGCGGCAGACCGGCCGGCAAGUUACAAAUCCUUUUAAUAGGCGAAAUCACCUGGAAAGGUAUACCACAGAAGGUAAUAGUCCUGUAGCUGAAAUUAAAAGGACUUGCUUAAAGCGUUCCCAAGUAUCACGGGGCACGUGGAAUCCCGUGUGAAUCAGGGAGGACCACCUCCUAAGGCUAAAUACUAACCGGCGACCGAUAGUGGAGCAGUACCGUGAGGGAAAGGUGAAAAGUACCCCGGAAGGGGAGUGAAAUAGUACCUGAAACCGUGAGCCUACAAGCAGUGGAAGCACUAUUUGCGGCAGUCUAGCUGCUGUAAAGUGUGACCGCGUACUUUUUGUAGAACGGGCCGGCGAGUUACGUUCAGUAGCAAGGUUAAGGGACAAAGUCCUGGAGCCGCAGCGAAAGCGAGUCUGAAAAGGGCGUUUAGUUGCUGGACGUAGACCCGAAACCGGGUGACCUACCCAUGACCAGGGUGAAGCUUGGGUAAAGCCGAGUGGAGGCCCGAACCCACCGAUGUUAAAAAAUCGGGGGAUGAGUUGUGGGUAGCGGUGAAAUGCCAAUCGAACCCGGAUAUAGCUGGUUCUCCCCGAAAUAGCUUUAGGGCUAGCCUCAGAUUAAUCUGUGGGAGGUAAAGCACUGACUGGGCUAGGGGCCUAACCAGGUUACCGAACCCUAUCAAACUCAGAAUGCCGACAGAUGAUGUCUGGGAGUCAGACUGCGGGAGAUAAGUUUCGCAGUCGAGAGGGGAACAGCCCAGACCACCGGCUAAGGUCCCGAAAUUGCAGUUAAGUGGGAAAGGAUGUGGGCUUGCUAAGACAACUAGGAUGUUGGCUUAGAAGCAGCCAUUCAUUCAAAGAGUGCGUAACAGCUCACUAGUCGAGUGAGCCUGCGCCGAAAAUUUAACGGGGCUAAGCUGUGUACCGAAGUCGCGGGUCCAGAAAUGGGCGGUAGGGGAGCGUAGUGUACGGGCUGAAGCAUGACCGGAAGGACAUGUGGACUGUACAGUAGUGAGAAUGCCGGAAUGAGUAGCGAGAGUUAAGUGAGAAUCUUGACCGCCGAAAGCCUAAGGUUUCCUGGGGAAGGCUCGUCCACCCAGGGUAAGUCGGGACCUAAGCCGAGGCCGAAAGGCGUAGGCGAUGGGCAACAGGUUGAAAUUCCUGUACCACCGUUACUCGAUUGAGAGAAGGGGUGACGCAGGGAGAUAGAGUGAGCGAGCGACUGGAAGAGCUCGUCCAAAGGGAAUAGGUAGUCCGGCAGGCAAAUCCGCCGGAUGUUCCGAAGCCCUGACGGGGAGGGAAAAUAGAGUACCGAAGCACUCGACUCUGCACUGACAAGAAAAGCCUCUAUCGAGAGUAAAGGUGCCCGUACCGCAAACCGACACAGGUAGGUGAGGAGAGAAUCCUAAGGCGAGCGGGAGAAGCGUUGUUAAGGAACUCGGCAAAUUGACCCCGUAAGUUCGCGAGAAGGGGUGCUCGAAGGGGAGACCCGGAGAGCCGCAGAGAAAUGGCCCAAGCAACUGUUUAGCAAAAACACAGGUCUCUGCCAAAUCGAAAGAUGAGGUAUAGGGGCUGACGCCUGCCCGGUGCUGGAAGGUUACGGGGAUCUGUUAGCGGUAACGCGAAGCAGUGAACUUAAGCCCCAGUAAACGGCGGCCGUAACUAUAACGGUCCUAAGGUAGCGAAAUUCCUUGUCGG
rnacentral:rRNA from 1 species